CAGCAUCAUGACAGAUGACUUCCAACAUGACUCAAUCACUCAAUUGAGUGGUUCUGCGAGAAAACCAAACCCCAUAAGGACACCAUCCAUGGGUGGUCUCCAUGUUCAUCGUCCAGAACACGGACAAGUUUCCUAUCAUUCAUCCGAAAGGGGACUUAUGGGGACUUUUAUUCCUCAUGUAAUGAUGCUCAGGGCAUAUUUUCUUAGAACUCCUCCUAGAAAUGUAUGACUAAACUGAUACUUGGUUCUUGUCAAUUUGGUGCAUCCUUACACACAGUACUAACAUUAAACUGUGUAGGGACACAGUCCGUUGACAUGAGAAAUGGUAACAUACUUAUUCAUACAUUUCCAGGAGCAAUAACAGAGGAAUGGUACAAGAGUUCUAAGAAAAGAUACUCCAGCAUUUCUCUUUUAUGGGAAUUGCAAGUAUUUACUAAAACAGGCAUGUCACGAGCGCUGAAAGGUCCUCCUUAUUUGAAGUGAAGUCUAAAAAUCCAAGAGCUGGCAUCAGUCCCAGAAAGGCUGGUCAAUGAGCCUGAGACAGGACUGGUAUGAGACCAGUGCCAUGCCGGACAAGGGGAUCUCCGCGUCUGUGUGCUGCUGUGGCAUCUACUAUUGUCCGAAGCAUUGAAACUAUAUAGUAGGUGACAUGUUUCAGCCACUCAGGUCUGGAUAGUGGUUGUCUGCAGGAAAAAGCUAAGGAUGUAUCCAGCCCUACUAUACCACUAAAUGGGAAGUUCAAGCAGUAAAUGGUAAAAUGUUGCUUCACAAAGACAAAGAGACCAAUAUCUACAACUACGUGCUAUGUUACAGUUAGCUCUAGCUUUACUUCCUCAUGAAUCUACAGCGUCCCCGAAGGAUAACGGCAAAACUGUUGGCCAUUUAGCCACUUUUAGGCUAAACUUUGAAAACAUAUGUUCACAUGUGUGAUGGUGGCCCUUUAGUAGCCCCCCCCCCCCCCGUCACACAUUCAGUCAAACAGUCAAAACAGGGCAGCAUCAUGGCACGAUUUUCUCUGGUAAAAUGGCGGACACCAUGAUGGAAAACUGACUGAUCCCACUGUAGUCAACAGUGUCCUUUGGCCAUGUGACAGAUUUGGGCACUGCUGUUAUUUUCAUUGUUCUGCUCCUAUGGCAAACAGAACAACUAAAAUAAGAAUGCAGGUGUGAACCCAGCCCUAAAGAGCUUGUCCAUGACCGUAUUGUUUUUUAAUUUCCACCCCUUCACCGUCGGACCUGUAAGGAGGCAUACUUACCGCCUUGGUUCCGUCCAAGACUUGGCUGCACUUUGGCACCAGUGUGUAAACGUCGGGUACGGAAGGGGGGGGGUCACAUGGGCUGCUGUAGUUAAUGACGUGUCCUUAAGCCAUUGGCUGCAGAGGCACAUGUGACUCUGUCCGUGCUGUAAGUUCACAUAGGGUUCCAAAGUGCAGUGAAGAUGGCCUAGGACAGAACUGAGAGGCGGCAGCAGGUAAAGGUAGGGAGGGGGUGAAAUGUAAAAAACUAUUUGAUCCUGGAAUAGCGCUUUAAGAGAUUUAAAUAUUAAAAGCAACAAAA